UUCGGCCUACGGGGGGCAGCAGUGAGGAAUAUUGGUCAACGGGCGGAAGCCUGAACCAGCCAAGUCGCGUGAGGGAAUAAGGCCCUACGGGUCGUAAACCUCUUUUGCCGGGGAGCAAGGGCCGGGACGCGUCCCGGCCCGGCGAGUACCCGGAGAAAAAGCAUCGGCUAACUCCGUGCCAGCAGCCGCGGUAAUACGGAGGAUGCGAGCGUUAUCCGGAUUUAUUGGGUUUAAAGGGUGCGUAGGCGGGCUUUUAAGUCAUCGGUAAAAAUUCGGGGGUCAA
rnacentral:rRNA from 1 species